CAGUCGCCACGGGAAAACGAAGGGGGCUAGCGUUGUUCGGAAUCACUGGGCGUAAAGCGCACGUAGGCGGACACUUAAGUCAGAGGUGAAAUCCCAAGGCUCAACCUUGGAACUGCCUUUGAUACUGGGUGUCUUGAGGUCGAGAGAGGUGAGUGGAACUGCGAGUGUAGAGGUGAAAUUCGUAGAUAUCGGAAGGAACACCUGUGGCGAAAGCGGCUCACUGGACCAUAACUGACGCUGAUGCACGAAAGCUAGGGGAGCAAACAGGAUUAGAUACCCGCGUAGUCCCUGUCUCUUAUAC
rnacentral:rRNA from 1 species